rnacentral:lncRNA from 1 species
UUUUUGUCAGAUCUUUGGAAUCCUCUGGUGUUAUCGAUAAUUUUUACUCUAUUUAUUUCUUACAAAUCUUUAACAAGUAAAAUGAUAAGCCAUCUAACAUUUUUUAAAUUAUGUUAAAAUAGUUUUUGAAAACUUAAACUUGUCAAUGAUAUGAAAAGUAAAAUGAGAACAUUUUACCGCCAAAAUUUCAAAAUUUCAAAAAUGAGCGCAUUGACUUAUAUAUAUAU